GUCGUCAGCUCGUGUCGUGAGAUGUUGGGUUAAGUCCCGCAACGAGCGCAACCCUCGUCUUUAGUUGCCAUCAUUUAGUUGGGCACUCUAAAGAAACCGCCGGUGAUAAGCCGGAGGAAGGUGGGGAUGACGUCAAGUCCUCAUGGCCCUUACACGCUGGGCUACACACGUGCUACAAUGGCGGUGACAGUGAGCAGCUAGAUCGCGAGAUCAUGCUAAUCUCAAAAAGCCGUCUCAGUUCGGAUUGUUCUCUGCAACUCGAGAGCAUGAAGGCGGAAUCGCUAGUAAUCGCGGAUCAGCAUGCCGCGGUGAAUACGUUCCCGGG
rnacentral:rRNA from 1 species